UGAGCCAACUCAGCAGUCGCUCGCCAUAUCCUGUGGCGGGAGGAAAGUCCGGGCUCCAUAGGGCAAGGUGCCAGGUAACGCCUGGGGAGCGUGAGCUCACGGACAGUGCCACAGAAAAUAUACCGCCUAUUUUUGUAAAAAAGUAGGUAAGGGUGAAAUGGUGCGGUAAGAGCGCACCGCGCACGUGGUAACACGCUGCGGCACGGCAAACCCCACCUGGAGCAAGGCCAAAUAGAAAUCCUUUGAGUGUGGUCCCGCACGGCGGAUUCGGGUAGGCCGCUUGAGGUGAGUGGUGACACUCAUCCCAGAGAGAUGACUGUUCUCGACAGAACCCGGCUUACAGGUUGGCUCUUUUU
rnacentral:RNase_P_RNA from 2 species